rnacentral:tRNA from 1 species
GCCUGGGUGGCUCAGUGGUUAAGCAUCUGACUUCAGCUCAGGUCAUGAUCUUGCGGUUCAUGGGUUCAAGCCCCACAUCAGGCU